rnacentral:tRNA from 1 species
GCGGGCGUGGCGGAAUUGGCAGACGCGCUGGAUUUAGGUUCCAGUGCCGCACAGGCGUAUGAGUUCAAAUCUCUUCGCCCGCA